rnacentral:rRNA from 1 species
UUAAGCAUAUCAAUAAGCGGAGGAAAAGAAACUAACAAGGAUUCCCCUAGUAACUGCGAGUGAAGCGGGAACAGCUCAAAUUUGAAAUCUCCGUGGCUCGCCGCGGCGAAUUGUAGUUUCGAGAAGCGUUUUCGGCGGCGGCCUUGGCCCAAGUCCCUUGGAACAGGGUGUCAUAGAGGGUGAGAACCCCGUGAGGCCUUGGCUUGCUGCUAUGUGAUGCGCUUUCAAAGAGUCGGGUUGUUUGGGAUUGCAGCCCAAAAUGGGAGGUAAAUUUCUUCUAAAGCUAAAUAUUGGCGAGAGACCGAUAGCGAACAAGUACCGUGAGGGAAAGAUGAAAAGAACUUUGAAAAGAGAGUUAAACAGUACGUGAAAUUGUCAAAAGGGAAAGGCUUGAAACCAGUCAUGCUGUCUGGGAUUCAGCGGGCCACGCCGGCCCGUGUACUUCCCAGAUGGCAGGUCAACGUCAGUUCUCUUCGUGUCGAAAGGCCGGUGGGAAGGUAACUCGCCUUCGGGUGAGCGUUAUAGCCCACCGGCACUGGCAUGUGGGGGGACUGAGGCCCGCAGGGCGCACUGGGCUCUUUCGGUCAGGCGAAUACCUUUUGGCGGACUGCACGCAGGCCGUCAGAAGGCAUAAACCUCUUGCCGGGAGAUGCCUCUCCGACCCUUCAGGACGUUGACGAAAUGGUUUUAAACCACCCGUCUUG